rnacentral:rRNA from 1 species
GACGAACGCUGGCGGCGUGCUUAACACAUGCAAGUCGAACGGUGAAAGCGGAGCUUGCUCCGCUGGAUCAGUGGCGAACGGGUGAGUAGCACGUGGGCAACCUGCCCCUCACUUCGGGAUAACUCCGGGAAACCGGGGCUAAUACCGGAUAUGACCUCCUUGGGCUUCCGUGGAGGUGGAAAGUUUUUCGGUGAGGGAUGGUCUCGCGGCCUAUCAGCUUGUUGGUGAGGUAGUGGCUCACCAAGGCGACGACGGGUAGCCGGCCUGAGAGGGCGACCGGCCACACUGGGACUGAGACACGGCCCAGACUCCUACGGGAGGCAGCAGUGGGGAAUAUUGCGCAAUGGGCGAAAGCCUGACGCAGCAACGCCGCGUGCGGGAUGACGGCCUUCGGGUUGUAAACCGCUUUCAGCAGGGAAGAAGCCGCAAGGUGACGGUACCUGCAGAAGAAGCACCGGCUAACUACGUGCCAGCCGCCGCCGUAA